rnacentral:rRNA from 1 species
GACGAACGCUGGCGGCGUGCUUAACACAUGCAAGUCGAGCGAUGAAACUUCUUCGGAAGUGGAUUAGCGGCGGACGGGUGAGUAACACGUGGGCAACCUGCCUCAUAGUGGGGAAUAGCCUCUCGAAAGGGAGAUUAAUACCGCAUAAGAUUGUAGUUCCGCAUGGAACAGCAAUUAAAGGAUUUAUUCGUUAUGAGAUGGGCCCGCGGCUCAUUAGCAAGUUGGUGAGGUAACGGCUCACCAAGGCGACGAUGCGUAGCCGACCUGAGAGGGUGUACGGCCACAUUGGGACUGAAACACGGCCCAGACUCCUACGGGAGGCAGCAAUGGUGAAUAUUGCACGAUGGGGGAAACCCUGAUGCAGCAACGCCACGUGAGUGAUGACGGUCUUCGGAUUGUAAAGCUCUGUCUUUAGGGACGAUAAUGACGGUACCUAAGGAGGAAGCCACGGCUAACUACGUGCCAGCCGCCGCGGUAA